rnacentral:rRNA from 1 species
UACGUAGGGUGCAAGCGUUGUCCGGAAUUAUUGGGCGUAAAGAGCUCGUAGGCGGUCUGUCGCGUCUGCUGUGAAAACUCGGGGCUUAACCCCGGGCCUGCAGUGGGUACGGGCAGACUAGAGUGCGGUAGGGGAGACUGGAAUUCCUGGUGUAGCGGUGAAAUGCGCAGAUAUCGGGAGGAACACCGGUGGCGAAGGCGGUUCUCUGGGCCGUAACUGGACGCUGAGGAGCGAAAGCAUGGGGAGCGAACAGG